CACAAUCAUGGCCCACUGCUCCCCUCUUCUUCUCAGUGCUCUUUGCCCUCUCCUGCUGCGUGCUUCCUCUUCACUCCAGUGCUGGUCUCAAACUCCCGACCUCAGGUGAUCCACCCACCUCAGCCUCCCAAAGUGGUGGGAUUACAGGCAUGAGCCACCGUGCCGAGCCUUCCUUGAAGUUUUUUGUUUGGUUUUGAUUUGUUUUGUUUUGUUUUGUUUUGUUUUGUUUUUGGAGAUAGGGUCUCACUCUGUUACCCAUGCUGGAGUGCAGUGGCACAAUCUUGGCUCAGAGCAACCUCUGCCUCCCAGGCUCAAGCAAUCCUCCCACUUCAGUCUAAGUAGCUGGGACUACAGGCACGUGCCACCAGGCCCAGCUAAUUUUUGUGUUUUGUUAGAGAUGAGGUUUUGCCAUAUUGCCCAGGCUCGUCUUGAACACCGGGGCUCAAGGAAUCUGCCCAUCUUCGCCUCCCAAAGUUCUGAGAUAGCAGGUGUGAGUCAUCAUGCCCAGCCUCCUUGAAGUUUACUAACAAUUGGGAUAACUGAGGGAAGAGAAGUGACAAUUCCACUCAGUCUAUUAGAGGUCUGGAUAUAAGGUAGCCACACAAUAACUCUAACUUGACUUCUAACCAUUCUAUCUUAUUGAUUUGGAGGCUGUCUUCUGCCAGAUUUUUUGUGGCUUGAGAUGAUAUUUUCGAACCCUUCUUUCACUACCUUUCUUACCCUUAAUGUGCCAAGCUUGAAACAGGAUUUGAUUUCCUGAGCUACUUGUUCGCCUUCUGUGCGUCACCAAGUAAUCUGGUUCAUCUUUCGUCUCAUUCAUGUUAUUUUCAAGUGAAACAAGACAUUUUGGGGGUCAAGUCUCUUUGGGUGUUUUGUUUUUAUGUAUAUAAAAAUGGAUUUUGUGUUCCCUUUCCAUGUAAGUACCAACUUAUAUGGAAACUCACAAUCAUAAUGUAAAGAAGAAAUGAAAGCCUGGUGUAUUGUACUUCAAGAUGCCUCCCUGAUGUAUAGAAUCUCCUUGUAAAAUAAAUAAUUGCAUU
rnacentral:lncRNA from 1 species